GCUGGCCUUGCAUGCCCAACUCGUGAGGUGAGCAAAAAGUGUUUGGCGAAUUGUUUCUUGGAAAGAAUAGAAAUAUCAUUGGGAUUUCAUAGGAUUAUGAUUGCAUGGUUGAAAGACUAUUAUUAAAUCUCAAUCCUUGCAUGCAAAUGUUCUCUUACGAUUCUUAGAAUUGUUAGGUCCCUUGAGAGUUAGGAUCCACUUGGGUCGGGUAUAGCGUAGUCCCUUAGUCAUCUGGUUCACCAAUAACCAGAGGGUGGAAUCAGUUUUUUAGAAAUUUGGUGUUGCUUGAUCAAAAUGUUUGUAGCAGCAAGUUUAUAUAGGCGAGCAUAAGAUGUUUGUUGAAAUGUUUCUUCCAAAUUUUGUCUUGUUUGGUUGAAAUGUUUGUAGGAGUUAGCUUAUCUAAAUAUAGUAUAUGGUGCCUGUCAAAAUGUUAUCUAGUGUUAAGUCACGUUUGUGGUGUUUAUUAGGCUUGGAGAAACUCUAUAACAAGGUAUUUGAAAAGGUAAUUUAAGUAGGAAAGGUAUGAUUAAAUGAUAUGAAAUGGUGUUAUUUUAUAAUGUGUUGAAAUCAUUGAGGAUAUGCAUUUCCAGUUGUUGUAGGCUUGUACCAAGGAUCCAGACUAAGGCAUAUUUUUUGAAACCAGUUGUAGAACUUACUGCUAAUACAUAGAAAGGUGGACAGUGAUAUAUGUUAUUUGCACAUGGUAUAUUGUGAAUUGAUUCAAUGCCUAGCACGAGUCACUUUGUCGAUGAAAGAACUAGGGAUUGAAAAAAUUUAGGUAUUAAAUUCAAAAGUUAUGAAACAACUAAUAAACAUAUUACUAGCAUGAAUAAGUAGAUUGAUUUAUAAGUGAGAUUAUUGAAAAACAAGACAAUUGACAAAAGUUUCUAAGAACAAAUAAACUGAGAGAAGGAUCAUGGUGUUGUCUUAAUCUUGAAAACUUUUUAAAACAUGGUGAAUAUUCUGAUAUUGGUCUUGAUCUGUUUUCAAAGUUAAAAGUUUUAAAAAAAAUUUUACAAACAGAAACUAGGACCUCUAUUGAUAUUUUAAGUUUUAUAAAAAAAACAGAUUCUUUUCUAAAUGCAUGCAUUGCUUAUAAAAUAUUGUUAACAAUACGUGUAAUAGUUGCUUCUGCUGAAAGAAAUUUUUCAAAAUUAAAGUUGAUAAAAUCUUAUUUGUGGUUAACUAUAUCAAAAAAAGAUUAAAUGGAUAAGCUAUAUUGUCGAUUGAAAGGAGUAUUUUAAUGAAUUUUUGAUUAUAAAAGUUUGAUUAGUAAUUUUACAUCUUAAAAAGUUAGACGAUUUAUUUUUAAAUAUAAUUUUAAAGUAUUUUGCACUUAUUCAAAUUUUUUCAUAAUUUUUUUUUAUAAAAAAAAAUGUCUUACCUCUAAAUACAUUGGGCCGCCUCUGCACCGCCGUCACCGCCCGCGGUCUCCUCUGUACCCAUCAUCCUCUACCUCCGCUGCCAACGCCCACUCACUCACUCUCUCUCUCUCUCUCUCUCUGCGCGUUCUGCCUCCCCGUCGACCGGCGACCUUUGACUGCUCUGUUUUCGACUGGGAUUUUACGCUCGCCCUAGCCGCUAGGAUUCUUCCGGGUCUCGGCCUCUCGGGCUUGGUUGGAGAACUUUGGCCCGGAGCCGGGGUGAUCUGGCUGCAUCCCCACGAAUACAAGACUGGCGACCUUUGAAAUUAAUUACUAAUAAAGCAUUUAGCGAAUCAUGAGUUGCAUGGCGCAUGGCGUUUCAUUCUGAAUCUGAAAAUUCAUGAGAACAUGUCAAAAAAAAAAAAACAAAGAAAAGGAUUUCUUAGAAAUACGAUGUGGAUUCCACCCACAAAUAUUUAAAUGCAGAAAGAUGCCGAUUGACUCACAAUUCUUGCUGCUCCUUUUUGGAAUCUCGGUCAAGUCUAUAAUAUGAGCUUACUUCAUCAAAGUUUACAGUUUUCUUUGGGAGGCAAAAGCAAUUGGCUCAUGCUUCUUGCAAAUUCUUCUUGCACCUGAAACUAGUAGUUUGUAAAAAUGCUAUUAAGCCUCUUAUUACACCUCUAGCUGUUGCUAACAACUUAAGACAACCAACUACCCUUUGAACCCUCAAAUAUUCUUUAGAGAACAAGAGCAAUGGUUAAGAGUGUCAUGCGAAAAAAAAUUGCUGACCCGUGGCUCUUCAUAUUUGCAUUAAGGUAUUUAAGUUAAGGAUGUUGUUGUAAAUUGAUAUCUACAAGUAAAUAAGCCCGAUCUCCAAGGGAAUCACUAAUUUACUUUCUGAUAUGAUUAAUGGAUACAAAACGAUAUAAUGUAUUAAAAUGAAAAAUCAAAUAUUUUACUUACCAAAAGAUCGACAAUCACUUCUCUUUGUUUCGAGAAUGGAUGCCUCAAUUGGAUAUGCAGCCCAGCAUCACGGCAUGCUUUGCUAUCAUCUUUGCAUUUUCAACAAACCCUAGAUAAACACCAUCGGCAAAAUAAUUAUAAUAAAUUAAAAAUAAUUAUGGUAAGACAAUUAUUUUAAAGAUGAUGUUCGAUAAGAUGGCAGGAGUUUCUCAAACUCACCCAAGAGAUCAGUUAAAAAGGCCAAGAGGUGUGUAAAGAUCAGGUGAUUGUAUGUAUAAGAUUCAUUUGUUUGAAAUGAGAGGUGAGAGGAGAUGAUAGGUGUUUGUUGGGUUUACCUAGAGGUAAUUCUAAAGUGAAGGCUUCUAACCAUGAAGGAAGAGAGCACAUAAGAAAAGGAUAGAUAAGGAAUAGGAUGUCAUGAUGCUUGGGUCUAAUAAUGGGUGAACAAAUAUUGGUUAAAAAGCUUGCACAUAAAAAUUGUAUAUAUAAAUUGGGCUUCACAUAGGUUGGGCUUGGGUUGUUUAUGAGUUGGUGCUACGGCUUGGGUUUGGAUUGUCUAUUGGUUGCCAUUGGGUUUGGCUAUGGCAUGGGCAUGGGGUAGCUACAUAGUGAAAUUAGAUUAGUUAUUAAUUGGUUCAUGUGAGGAUAAUGGGUGGGAUUGGAAUUGGGGAUUAGUCCAAGGAAAAUUAGAUCAAGGAGAAGAAAAGGACACCAAGGGGUGUCUAGAAAUACAAAACAAAAUAAAUAAAUAAACAAAUAUACAUACGCCACUGCAUGUGUCAAAUUUUGAGGCACACCUAUUACUACGGUGUCCCGCUUCUAAUGCUCCUCAUCAUCAAUAACAUGGUUUUAGAACAGAAUCACAGGCAAGAUGAAUGCAUAAUGGAUCAAGAGAUUUAAUAACUAGAAACAAUGAAAUUAUUUAGGCAAGAAAAACAUGUCUAUAUUGGAUAUAUAAGACACCGCUUGCUAAAUCUCAUAGUAAAUGUCUAAAUGUUUAAAAUAACCAAUAUGAUCUUAGGUGAAGUUUAGGUACUGUUGUGAUGUCUACAUAUCGAUAAUCAAAGCAAAAUUAUGUCCAAUUGGUGUAUAAAAUAACAUCUAAAUGCUACUCAUUAUGCACGCCACUAAUUUUGAAUUGAGAUGUAUAGGUUGAUUUUUAGGUUUUCGAUAGACACAUAUCGAUGAUCAAAGAAAAAUUAUGUCCAAUUGGUAGCAUCUACAUGAGAGCACCACUAUCAAAGUGUGCUAAUUUGGCCCACCUUCUUGUAUAAAGGCUUCGAGCAUAUUUUAUAACACUUGUUGAUGGUAUCUACCUGCAGUGACAUGCAGCACCCCUAGGUUUACAUUAGCUUAAAAUGACCAUAAAACCCCAUGAGCUCAAGUGCUUAACGUAGUACUUGAUCCAACUACUUUCUAGGAAAAUUAAGGUCUCUUUGUUUAAUAAUAAACCCUCAAUAAGGGCAAUUUCAUCCUUCAAGAUAAAAGCUUCGCAUGUACAAGGAACACUUUAGAAAUGAUUCAUGCGAUUAACGUGAGAGAUAGCUGAGCAUUAAAAGGUCAAUUUAGUGAGAAAUAAUCGACGAAGAAAAAGGUGGUUUCUACAUUUGAUGCUCCUAGGGUUUCUUUUUUCAGUCUCUACUUUUUUAAUUACAGACCCUCAACAAAAAUAUUAUCGGUUUCCAAGAUUAAAAAAAAAAAUCACAGUAUAAAAAGUACUCUAAAAGGGUUCACAAGAAUAAAGUGAUAUAGAAAAGCAUUAAAACGUAAAAGAUUGGCUAGCAACUGAUGAUCUAUCAGCUAGCCAUCUGUCUGUUCGCUUAUUAAGUUCGACAAAAGGAGAGGUAUAUAUGUUCACUGUUUGUUUUUAGCUAUUCUUUGCUGUCUCAUUUGCUGAUUUUGAGCAAAAUUCAUUAGGCUUGCAUCUGUAACUUAUGUUCUCUAUAACAUCUUACUUGCUUGUGCACUGAGUGUUUGCAAACUAAGUACUAAGCCAAAUGCCACCUUACUAAAAUAUCAUCAUGCCUUAAUAUUCCAUAUAAUUAAUUAAGCAUGAAACCAGGAGGUGUAACACCACUCACUCAAAAACCAAUCAAUACACAAAGCAAAAGAAGAAAAGCCACAACCUUCCAACAGCUAUAUCAGCAAAGUUCCAAGUACAAGAAAGACAACAAAGAAAGAAACUGCAUUAGAUUAUAUCUGAAUCCCGCAAGCUGGACACCUUGUCUGUGUAGCAAAUCUACCAACAAUACAUCUUCGAUGGAAUCUAUGCGAGCAUCUCAAAACUCCUACCACCACUCCCUCCGUAAACCUUUCACCACAGGCUCUACAAGAUGCAUGAGCUCGCACGUCAGCUUGCGUUAUACGGACCUCGCUCAUCCGUCCUUCUCUUACGAGCAUGAUUUGUGCUGCAAGGCUUAGCGUAAACUCUAUGCUCCGCAUAAGAUUCUCGUAUCUUUGGUCAAAUUCGGUAGACAAACUGUGAUGCCUAUUUGAGCCAUCAGCAACAGACAUUGCUUCGACAGUGUUUAGAUGGUUCAUUAUUUGCUCAGAAUCGCGAAGUAGAUGUCUUUUGAGGAACUCCAUUCCCUCCAUGUUUGCAAGCAGAUUUCUUUGAUAAAUGAGGCGGGCUCGCAAUCUCCUGAUGUGCUGGAAGAAAUCCGAUGAAUUCAUUUGAUGAUAUGUAGAAGCUUCAAAUCUUUGUUUGCUAGUUCUAUGCCCUGCUGUUAAUGAUGCUAGAUCUAAUAAAAGAACAGAAACAGUGAGCUUCAGUGACAAGAGGAAGCUCAAUAUUUGAAUAAUGUGGCAAGUUUUGCUGCAAUAUUAAAUGAGAUGGCGGUAUGUGUUCUAGGAAGCUUUUAAUGCUGCGUUUGAAUUAUUCUUAGUUGUAACUCUAAAGAUAGAUCUUGUUCACUUAGACAGCAUCUCAAGAAUGUAGCAUCAAACAUCAACAUCUUAGACACAAAGUUAUCAUGUAUAAGAUUAACGCGUAUAUGGAACUUAAAAACUAACGUUAUAAAAGGAAAAAAUAUAUAGGAAGGGUAUUUUGAUCAAGUUAAUUUAGUUAGUUCUUAUAGUCAAGAUUUUAAACUAAUGGAUCUUAGAAUUAUACUUUGCUUAAACUUAAAUGAGUAGAACUAACCAAAUGCUUUUAGAAAUCAAAUCCUGAUUUCUUGAUUUAAUUUCCAUCACAAAUUUUUUGAAACACAAAUUAUUAAAAAUAAAUAAAUAUAGUUAUCAUAAACAAAAAGAGGAAGGAAAAAUCUUUUUAUCUUGCUGACUCCAUCUCUUAAUCACAAAAAUAUAAUCUCCAAAAAUUAGAGCAUGAAUCAAAUUCACAAACAAACAAUAAAUUUGGAUGUGAUUCAUUAAAUGACUGAACAUAUCCUUUGGCAAUAAGAAAUAUCAUGAUUUAAAAUUAAAAUCAAAAUAGAACAUUAUCUUUCAUCACGCAAAAUUCUAUGCACUAUUGAAAAUGAUGAAGAUCCUAGCAUUACAGAACUUUAUGUCAUUCUCACUUGAUAGCAUAAUAACUAUACAUUUGAUAGUUGGAAAAUAACAAAUAAAUGAAUAAACUAAGAAAAAUAACUAGAUAAAGGUAAAACAUGUGCAUGAAAUAUCGAUGGAAUUCGAUCAUUAAAAUGAUAUGCAACAAACUUGUUCUAUAUAAAAAAAUGAAUAAUAUUAUUUCAAGAUUAUGAUAUAGGUAGAAUGCACAAAUAUGUAUAAAAGGCAUACCUUCAAGAUCUGCAUAGACUGUCAAGACACUAUUUCCUCUUGAAAACAAGGACAUCCAUUCUUCUAUUUAUAGAGAUCUUGAAAAUUUCUUUAUCAUGGAAUUAAAAUCCUGAAAAAACUACUCUUAGACACGUUAUAAAUAAUCCAACCAAAAGCAAAUUCCUUGUCGUAUAGUACUUCAAUAUGAUGAACUAAACUUAGGGCGCUCAUAGGAUAGGUCAAAGAAAACUGUGGCUACAAUCCAUUGUUUUAAAGUGCAUGGUUUCUUGUCCAACGCCUGUCGGUAGGGUUAAAAUUGGAUUAGAUAUGGACACAGAUAUCCGUAUCUUUUUGAGAAAAAAUAGUGCAAAAGUUUCAAGCAAUUUAUUAAGGGGAUUAAUUGAAGAGUUCCAGAGGUGGGAGAAGAGAGAAUAUGUCCCUAACAAGCUCUAACUCAAUAAUAUUCUAGCCAACCAUGCCCAAAAUAGAAUUAGCUUACUUAAAACCUGAGCUCAAUUCUUGAUCCCUUCAUCCUCAUAAAGUCCCACAUAGUACUCUUUGGUUCUUGCCAUCCCAAAAGGACACCUGAAGCUCCAACCAUUUUUAUUUGAUGAAUGUGAAUGCAAAUCUAGAUAUUAAUCAUAUGCUAAUUAUAUUUGUUUAAAUAGAUACAAAUGACAAUUAGAUCUUACCAACAAGAAUACAAAUGUGGAUAUAGAUUAAAUAGUUGAACUUCAAAAUUAGAACGUUAUCGCAUUUUAUAUUUUAUGAGCUCAAAAUAGUUAUAUAAGCCUUUCAUUUGUUCAUAACAAACAAACAAGGUACAAGAAAUAAAAAGAUAUAGUUAUAUCCACUUAAUCACUUAACUCUUUUAGUAGAUUCUGAUGAUUUUGUUGAGUACUUAUUGAGGAUGUAAUUCACCAAAUUGAAGAUAUCACUAUAUCUAUAGAAACAAAAAUUUAAGAUAUGUGGAGAUUGUCACUUGCUUAACUUUGGAGUUUAUUAGAGCUAUCAAAGAUUAAAUAUUACUGCAAACACAAUAAAAAAUUUGGAUACAAAUGAGACAUCAUGCAUCUAUUUUCACAUUAAUUUUUCUUUGAUGGAAAUAUAGAUGUAGAUUUUAAUUGAAUGACAAAAUCAAUAUCUAUAUUAAACAACUUAAGAUAUGCAAAUGGUUUGAAUUGAUAUUAUCCAAUCCAUUUUACCUCUUCUUGUUGGGGUGCAAGUUUCACCCUUCUUGCAUUAAUGCAAGUAAUAGCCAAAUUGAUCUUAGGUUAGCCAAAACUCAAUUUCUAACUCAACUAAAUAUCUUAGUAGAUUGUGCAAUGUGCAUUGAAUUAUAAUUUGAAUUUAAAUUGGUAAGAUUAACCGCGAUCCACACUGGAUUUAGCACGGAUUAAUUGCUCAGAUAAACUGAUCAAUAAUCCUUGAAAACAUCUCAAAUAUAUCCAUAGUGCAUAACCCUCAGCCUUAUCUAGCUUAUAUUAAUAUUAUAUGUAAUCUUCACUAUCAAUCAAGCUGAAAUAAUACCCAACUAAACCCAUAUUUGUGCAGGCGUUAUUAUAAUAUAGAAAUGUGACAUGAACAAAGAUGUGCAAUGAUGCCAAUUAUAAUGAAGAGGAUAUAUGUUAGUGGUUCUUUCAGUUCACAGAUACAAAGGUCCUCAAUUAUAGUACAUGUUAUGGUUUGAGAAUGAUAUAAAUUCUACUAUUAUCUUUCCUUUUUUUAUUUUCUUUGAGAGAAUCAUGAUGAAAAUGCCGCAAUGCAUAGAAACAACUCCUUAGUUCACAUAGAAAUUGUUACUCAACUUUAGAGACAUAAUGAUCAAAAAAACUCAUGCAUGUUAUGAUUUGAGACGUGAUUUCAAGUAAUGGCACCAUUAUCUUUCCUUUUUUUAAUGAGAAUUUAGAUGGAAAUGUGAUUAUAAGUGUUUGAACCCUAAACCUCGCUCUAAAGCAAGCUCUUAGAAGAGGAUGGCCAACUCAUAGAAUUAAGUCAUCUAAUUAACUAAAGUCAACAUCAGCAUAUGUUCACAAUAUGAUGAUUCAACCUACACAAAGCAUAGUUAAUAAAUUUACAGAUCAUCUAGUUGAAAAAUCUCAUGAAUUCCGAUCUUGACUACGAAACCUCUUGUUGAACUUUUGAAGGAUUUGUAUUUGAUUAAAGACGAAGACAUCCAUAUAUCGAAAUACAGUCUUAAUAAUAAUAAGAUCAACUACUCUUUUCAAGUACAAAUUACUCAUUAAGCAUGUUAGAACGAACCAGAGAGCAGUUUAGCAAAUAAUCUGGAAUAGCUAACCAAGAACAUAGCUUUUUAUGCUUCCACCUUCACAAACACUCUAGAAUCUCUAUCUAGUGAUUUACUUCAAAACUGUGGUAAAUCACACUUGUAACUCUAUGUUGGUCUAAUGCAUCCUAAAAUUAGAGUGAUGAGAGGAGGCAUACACAAUGGUGAUGGCAAUAACCAGCUUUGUCAUAGAAAAAGAUAUGAUUUACAUCGAGAUUAUUUUCCUUUGUGUAAUUAAUACGAAUUCACACAAAUCAAGACAAGCACAACCACUUCGACUAAAAAUUCGAUUCCAAAAUUUUCAAUUGAAGUGAAUGUUACUUUCGAAGCUACAUUUCAUCAAAUCAUACUUCUUCUACUCCCACUACUUGCAAGAAUAGUACAAUAUCAACCAUGUUAGGAUCCAUGCCUGCAUUGUCUCGAUAAAAAAGGGAUGAAAAUGAGCUAGGACUUGACCCAUAACCUAUGUGGAUUAGAAGAUAUCGCAGCACGAAUUUUUUAGGCCUGACCAUAGGCCGAUCGUGGUGCUAGAACGUCGGGGCUUAAACGGAAAGAGUAUAUGAGGACCGUGCGGAUGAGUAUUUAGCCCCAUAUCGGUUAUUCGUUUGGUAGAUUUUGGAUACUUAUACAGCAUCAAAGAACUCAUAUGAUACCUUCUGGCUAACCUUUACCUAGCUAAAUUAUUUUUGAUAUUAAAAAUUCGAGAGUAGAAGAUGAGUGUGUUUCAUGACAGCCUUGUAAAGGAAUGAAUUACUUUAUUUGUGAUUAGUUUUCAUCUCUAUGAAUUGAUUACGCUCAUCUCUCUUCCUCUGAAUCAUUUUUUUAGCAGAUGAGAACGCGAUCAGUUUGAUGUUUUGUAGUCGUAAAAGUUGUGGUGGCUUUUUAUGUUAAGAAAUUUUAAAACUUUUAACUUGAUAGUCAGGUGUCUUGGCAGUGCGAUUUCUGCUCUACUACUAUUGUGUGUGGCAAUGCAGGAGAACAAUGGAGGCCCUAUUGCUAUGCUUCCUUUGUGCAUGGGCCAUAAUGGCAGAGAUCUCGGCCCAAGAAGGUUUUAGGCCAAAGCACGAAACCAAUCAGUUUUAGCUUCACAAACCUCUAUGACAAAAGGACAUAGGUUGUAUCUUCCGCACAAAAGAAAGAAUCCCCUUCCUUCACAUGAGUCCACCAUUGGAUCGCAUAAUGGUCACUUUGAGAUCUGUGCAGUGAUGAAUGGAGUUAGAAAUGUUUUGAGAUCUGUGCUGGGGACGAUCCAACGGUCGAUGCCAUGAAGGAAGACCGAUCAUUCUUUCACAUGAAAGAGCAGCCUCUAUACUAUUUUAAUCCAGCUCAUUGCAACGGCCUCCUCCAACUUUUGUAUUAACAGAAAUGAGUCUCCUCCAAAUUUUGCAUUAGUAUCAUUUGCCUUCGCAUUCAAAAAUAGUCUAUAUUGAACCUUUCCCAUUAUAUAUUAGUCGAUGUUAAUAUUUCAUCGAGAACUAAUUUAUUACACAAUUUGAUGUCAUCUUAUUUUUGGUACAUGUAAA
rnacentral:lncRNA from 1 species